rnacentral:rRNA from 1 species
GACGAACGCUGGCGGCGUGCCUAAUACAUGCAAGUUGAGCGCUGAAGGUUGGUACUUGUACCAACUGGAUGAGCAGCGAACGGGUGAGUAACGCGUGGGGAAUCUGCCUUUGAGCGGGGGACAACAUUUGGAAACGAAUGCUAAUACCGCAUAAAAACUUUAAACACAAGUUUUAAGUUUGAAAGAUGCAAUUGCACCACUCAAAGAUGAUCCCGCGUUGUAUUAGCUAGUUGGUGAGGUAAGGCUCACCAAGGCGAUGAUACAUAGCCGACCUGAGAGGGUGAUCGGCCACAUUGGGACUGAGACACGGCCCAAACUCCUACGGGAGGCAGCAGUAGGGAAUCUUCGGCAAUGGACGAAAGUCUGACCGAGCAACGCCGCGUGAGUGAAGAAGGUUUUCGGAUCGUAAAACUCUGUUGGUAGAGAAGAACGUUGGUGAGAGUGGAAAGCUCAUCAAGUGACGGUAACUACCCAGAAAGGGACGGCUAACUACGUG